rnacentral:rRNA from 1 species
CUGGCUCAGGACGAACGCUGGCGGCGUGCUUAACACAUGCAAGUCGAACGGAAAGGCCCUUUCGGGGGUACUCGAGUGGCGAACGGGUGAGUAACACGUGGGUGAUCUGCCCUGCACUCUGGGAUAAGCCUGGGAAACUGGGUCUAAUACCGGAUAGGACCAUGGGAUGCAUGUUCUGUGGUGGAAAGCUUUUGCGGUGUGGGAUGGGCCCGCGGCCUAUCAGCUUGUUGGUGGGGUGAUGGCCUACCAAGGCGACGACGGGUAGCCGGCCUGAGAGGGUGUCCGGCCACACUGGGACUGAGAUACGGCCCAGACUCCUACGGGAGGCAGCAGUGGGGAAUAUUGCACAAUGGGCGCAAGCCUGAUGCAGCGACGCCGCGUGGGGGAUGACGGCCUUCGGGUUGUAAACCUCUUUCAGUAUCGGCGAAGCUCCGAUGUUUUCUGCGGGGUGACGGUAGGUACAGAAGAAGCACCGGCCAACUACGUGCCAGCAGCCGCGGUAAUACGUAGGGUGCGAGCGUUGUCCGGAAUUACUGGGCGUAAAGAGCUCGUAGGUGGUUUGUCGCGUUGUCCGUGAAAACUCACAGCUCAACUGUGGGCGUGCGGGCGAUACGGGCAGACUGGAGUACUGUAGGGGAGACUGGAAUUCCUGGUGUAGCGGUGGAAUGCGCAGAUAUCAGGAGGAACACCGGUGGCGAAGGCGGGUCUCUGGGCAGUAACUGACGCUGAGGAGCGAAAGCGUGGGGAGCGAACAGGAUUAGAUACCCUGGUAGUCCACGCCGUAAACGGUGGGUACUAGGUGUGGGUUUCCUUCCUUUAGGGAUCCGUGCCGUAGCUAACGCAUUAAGUACCCCGCCUGGGGAGUACGGCCGCAAGGCUAAAACUCAAAGGAAUUGACGGGGGCCCGCACAAGCGGCGGAGCAUGUGGAUUAAUUCGAUGCAACGCGAAGAACCUUACCUGGGUUUGACAUGCACAGAUCGCCG